ensembl:lncRNA
CUUCAUACUGACACAUUAAAAAGUGAAAUAACUAAAACCAGCAGAUGACUGCCCUCCAUGGAAUGAGUUUGGACACCUUCUGAUCUAGUGCCUUUCGACAGAAGCACAGAUCCAGGAACAGUCUCCAUUUCCUCAACCUUAACUAGUGUAGUAUAAGUUAACUACUAGGGGGGGGGAUCUGCAUGAAAACUGACCUGAGAUCAGUGUCGUGUUUUAUAAGAUGACCACUUCCUCUCUUUUACAGGUGACAUUCCUUUCCUCCUUAAACAUGUGUCGCUUUGUAUUCCUUCCCCCACUGAUUCAGUAGCAGGAAGGAGUUUUGAGGUGUCGCGUUGUAUUCCUUCCCCCACUGAUUCAGUAGCAGGAAGGAGUUUUGAGGUGUCGUGUUUUAUUCCCCCCCACCCCCACUGAUUCAGUAGCAGGAAGGAGUUUUGAGGUGUCGCGUUGUAUUCCCUCCCCCACUGAUUCAGUAGCAGGAAGGAGUUUUAAGGUGUCGCGUUGUAUUCCCUCCCCCCCCACUGAUUCAGUAGCAGGAAGGAGUUUUGAGGUGUCGCGUUUUAUUCCCUCCCCCACUGAUUCAGUAGCAGGAAGGAGUUGAGGUGUCGCGUUUUAUUCCCUCCCCCCCACUGAUUCAGUAGCAGGAAGGAGUUUUGAGGUGUUACGAUAUCAUAGAGCCUUUUAGCGUCACAGAAUACCAGUCUACUGAUAGCAUUAAUACAACGUUUGUUAGUUUGUACAUAUACCAGUAAUAGGAUCC